UACGAAGGGGGCUAGCGUUGUUCGGAAUUACUGGGCGUAAAGCGCACGUAGGCGGAAAUUUAAGUCAGGGGUGAAAUCCCGGGGCUCAACCCCGGAACUGCCUUUGAUACUGGGUUUCUUGAGUUCGGAAGAGGUAAGUGGAAUUGCGAGUGUAGAGGUGAAAUUCGUAGAUAUUCGCAGGAACACCAGUGGCGAAGGCGGCUCACUGGCCCGAUACUGACGCUGAGGUGCGAAAGCGUGGGGAGCAAACAGGG
rnacentral:rRNA from 1 species